UACGUAGGGCGCAAGCGUUAUCCGGAAUUACUGGGCGUAAAGAGCUCGUAGGUGGUUUGUCGCGUUGUUCGUGAAAACUCACAGCUUAACUGUGGGCGUGCGGGCGAUACGGGCAGACUUGAGUACUGCAGGGGAGACUGGAAUUCCUGGUGUAGCGGUGGAAUGCGCAGAUAUCAGGAGGAACACCGGUGGCGAAGGCGGGAUCUCUGGGCA
rnacentral:rRNA from 1 species